rnacentral:lncRNA from 1 species
CUCAGAUUCUGCUCCUUCAUUCCUCUACUGACCUCUGAAUUGCAGGCAUCCUGGAAAUCCUGGCCCACUUCAAACAACAAGUGGGCCUAAGAGAGUUGAUUUUCUGAGCCCAGAGAGAUGAAAAAUAAAUGUCAGUGGCUAAGAAAAUGUGGGCAGGGUCAAGACAAAAUUCAAGGGGGAUUGUACGGUGGAGAAAAUUCUUCAUGCUGGCAAUGCUUUGGCAUGCUUUGAAAAUUCUUCAUGCUGGCAAUGCUUCUGAUUCAACAGCACACGCACCACAGCAUCUGACCGUUUCUGUGGUCCACAGGCCAUGGCUUCCUGGAUAGAGUCCUCGGGGCCCUGAGCCAGCCCAAACUUGGAAGAGAGUUCUUCCUGGCAGUGGGCUGCCGUCUCUGAGCUCUGCAGUCAAAAGCCACAUGGGGUCAUGGCAAAUCCAAGCCUCUUGACCCCUACCUUCAGGUGAUGGCACAAACAGCUGCUGGGAUGGCUUUUAAAACCCUGGAAAAAUCAUGGUCACUCAUCAAGUCGGACAAGUCCGAGUUGCCCUGGCAGGAAAUAGAGGAAGGCGUGAAGAGGCUGAGAGAAGUGGUCCUGCUGGGGUGGAUGGAUUAUGUAAAGAAACUCACUCAUUUACCCAAAGUCACAUGCUAGAAAGUGGCAGAGAAAGGGUUCCACGGCACAGCUCUGCAGCCCAACCAUCCUGACCUCAGGG